GGAGGGGGAUAACUACUGGAAACGGUAGCUAAUACCGCAUAACGUCUCAAGACCAAAGAGGGGGACCUUCGGGCCUCUUGCCAUCUGAUGUGCCCAGAUGGGAUUAGCUAGUAGGUGGGGUAACGGCUCACCUAGGCGACGAUCCCUAGCUGGUCUGAGAGGAUGACCAGCCACACUGGAACUGAGACACGGUCCAGACUCCUACGGGAGGCAGCGGUGGGGAAUAUUGCACAAUGGGCGCUGGCCUGAUGCAGCCAUGCCCCGCGCAUGAAGAAGGCCUUCGGGUUGUAAAGUACUUUCACCGGGGAGGAAGGCGAUAAGGUUGAUAACCUUGUCGAUUGACUUUUCCCGCAGAACAAGCACCGGAUAACUCCGUGCCAGCAGCCGCGGUAAUACGGAGGGUGCAAGCGUUAAUCGGAAUUACUGGGCGUAAAGCGCACGCAGGCGCGUCUGUCUGUCUUAUGUGAAAUCCCCGGGCUCCCCCUGGGAACUGCAUUUCGAAACUGGCAGGCUAGAGUCUUGUAUAGGGGGGUAGAAUUUCCAGGUGUACUCGUGUAAAUUGCGUAAGAUCUGGAGGAAUACCGGUGGCGAAAGCGGCCCCCUGGACAAUACUGACGCUCAGUGCGAAACGUGGGGAGCAAACAGGAUUAAAUACCCUGGUAUUCCACGCCGUAUACAUGUCCACUUGGAGGAUGGCCCUUGAGGCGUGGGUUCCGGAGCUCACGCGUUAAGUCAAUCCGCCUGGGGAGUACGGCCGCAAGGUUAAAACUCAUAUGAAUUGACGGGGGCCCGCACAAGCGGUGGGAUCAUGUUGAGUUUAAUUCGAAUGCAACGACAUGAUCCGUACCUA
rnacentral:rRNA from 1 species